CGAUCGUUGGAUCGUUGUACAAUUUUGUGAGCACCCUAGUUAUCAGUUGUUGGACCUUUGAGAACUUACAGAUCAGAAAUCUGAUAUGCGGAUCUUCUGAAUUGAAUAACCUUAGAUUAUUGACCUUAAUGAACCUACCCUAUCAACGAUUGACGUCCUAGUCAACGUGCUCUACUCAAGAGUGUCGUUUAUCUCUAGUUUGUUGAUGAGGCUUGAUGGAGCUUAGUUGGCUCAUCAUGAUGAUGUGUCGUUCCCAGUUGACGUGUCUCGAUAUAUGUAUUAGUGGCACCAUAUUGAGUUAUACUUGUUUAUUAAAUGUGUUUUCUAUUGAAUUGUUAUUUUUAUUUUUAGCAUCAAUCAAUGUUUAUUAAUUGUAAUUCGACUGUAACUUGGAAACAUUUAUGAAAUGUGGUUAGAUAUGUAUGAUUAGUAUGAUUGUUUUUUAUGACGAUGUGAACCCAGAAUCUUAUGAGAAGUAUUAUAUUUAGGGGUGAUCAUGCUUGUUUUUUAUGACGAUGUGAACCAAGAAUCUUAUGUGAACCCAACAUCUUAUGUUUGUAUAAUAAGAUAGUUAGUGGUCAUGAGAAGUUGAUAGUGCAAGUGAUUACGAUGUAAAUCAUAGCGGAUGAGAUAAGGGUAAGUGGUUUGUGUGUUGAUUUAACUGCACCAUGUAGUAGUGGUACAUGAAUGGUCCUGCUUGGUUAAUCUGCGUUGGGGGACCAUACAAUUUUUGGAUCGUGCUUGGUUAAUUCGCGUUGGGCGAUCCUUAUGGCCAUUUAUAU
rnacentral:lncRNA from 1 species